rnacentral:rRNA from 1 species
CGCAUCUGUGCAUGCAGCAUAUCAAUAAGCGGAGGAAAAGAAACCUAACAAGGAUUCCCCUAGUAACGGCGAGUGAAGCGGGAAGAGCUCAAAUUUGAAAUCUUAAAGGGUUUCCCUUUACGAAUUGUAGUUUAAAGAAGUGUUUUCUGUUGAGGUUUUGGUAAAAGUUCUUUGGAAUAGGACAUCAUAGAGGGUGAGAAUCCCGUAUUUGACCUUUACUUUCAACUUUGUGAUACACUUUCAAAGAGUCGGAUUGUUUGGGAAUGCAGUCCAAAAUGGGUGGUAAAUUUCAUCUAAAGCUAAAUAUUGGCGAGAGACCGAUAGCGAACAAGUACCGUGAGGGAAAGAUGAAAAGAACUUUGAAAAGAGAGUUAAACAGUACGUGAAAUUGUCAAAAGGGAAGCGUUUGACACCAGUGUUGUUUUCUGAAAAUCAAUUAAAGAACUGUUUAUGCUAAGUUGUUUAGACUUUAUCAGCUAUCUGUUUAGUUUUGAGCUUUUCUUUAAUGCACUUUUCAGUUAACAAGUCAACAUCAAUUUCUUUUGCUGUAAAAAAGCUUGAGGAAGGUGGCUUGAGAUUCGUCUUAAGUGUUUAUAGCCUCUUGCCUAUGCAGUCGGAGAGAUUGAGGUCUGCAGCGUAGAUCCUUCGGGGCUAAAUGCAUUUGUGCUAAGUUAUAGCAUUUUAUAGACAACUUGUUGACUAUGAUUUGUCUUGUAGCUUACUCGCUUAUGUUAUUUUACCUACGCUUAGGAUGUUGAAUCUGUGCGAGACUAC